rnacentral:rRNA from 1 species
AUCUGGGCGGCGAAAUUCAGAAUGACUGGCCGGCUUCGGCAUGUCCGGUCAUUUGAUAUUUUCGUCGCCGUGUCAGACGUCGCGAUCCGUUCGUUGUCGGUCCUUGCUCGGAGGAGUUGCAAUCGAGUUUGUUGUGGUCGCGUUUCGGCGUGUCAUACGGCAAAGAUGCGAAUCUCUGGCUGACAACGGACAGUAAGCAGUGAUGACUGAUGCCGUGUCGUGUGCGCGGUGUUUGCAUCGAUCAGCGACGAUUUCUUCGGGCCUCUUUCCGACCCGUCUUGAAACACGGACCAAGGAGUCUAACAUGCGCGCGAGUCGCGGGGUAUCGAGCGUACUACGGUGCGCUCGGCUCGUUAUGAAACCCGUAUGUUGAAGGCGUAAUGAAAGUGAAUGGGGAAGAUGGUGUUCCGAGUAUACGUACCGUGAGAAUUCGCGGCCGGACACCCGCAUUCCCGGGGCGUCUCAAGGUUCGUCGUGAAUGCGGAUCGUCGUCUUUCGGGGCGGUGAUCGGUUUGCGAUGGUCCGA